GACGAACGCUGGCGGCGCGCCUAACACAUGCAAGUCGAACGAGCGAGAGAGAGCUUGCUUUCUUGAGCGAGUGGCGAACGGGUGAGUAACGCGUGAGGAACCUGCCUCAAAGAGGGGGACAACAGUUGGAAACGACUGCUAAUACCGCAUAAGCCCACGGCUCGGCAUCGAGCAGAGGGAAAAGGAGCAAUCCGCUUUGAGAUGGCCUCGCGUCCGAUUAGCUAGUUGGUGAGGUAACGGCCCACCAAGGCAACGAUCGGUAGCCGGACUGAGAGGUUGAACGGCCACAUUGGGACUGAGACACGGCCCAGACUCCUACGGGAGGCAGCAGUGGGGAAUAUUGCACAAUGGGGGAAACCCUGAUGCAGCGACGCCGCGUGGAGGAAGAAGGUCUUCGGAUUGUAAACUCCUGUUGUUGAGGAAGAUAAUGACGGUACUCAACAAGGAAGUGACGGC
rnacentral:rRNA from 1 species